UACGAAGGGGGCUAGCGUUACUCGGAUUGACUGGGCGUAAAGGGCUCGUAGGCGGAUGGUACAGUCAGACGUGAAAUUCCUGGGCUCAACCUGGGGGCUGCGUUUGAUACGUGCUGUCUGGAGUUCGGAAGAGGGUCGUGGAAUUCCCAGUGUAGAGGUGAAAUUCGUAGAUAUUGGGAAGAACACCGGUGGCGAAGGCGGCGACCUGGUCCGAUACUGACGCUGAGGCGCGAAAGCGUGGGGAGCAAACAGG
rnacentral:rRNA from 1 species